GCUGAAAGCAUCUAAGCAUGAAGCCCCCCUCAAGAUGAGAUUUCCCAACUUCGGUUAUAAGAUC
rnacentral:rRNA from 1 species